UGUUUAAACAAAUCCGGAGGAAAAGUAAGACUCACAUUCAAACUGGAGCAAGAUCAGUUGUGGAUCGGAACAAAAGAGAGAACAGAGAAAGUUCCAAUGGGCUCUAUUAAAAAUGUAGUGUCCGAACCCAUCGAAGGCCAUGAGGACUAUCACAUGAUGGACCCAAAUGAUUCUGACCACAGAAUCCUGCUUUUCAAAAUUCCUGUGAAUCCAUGGAGUACUCCUGUAUCCUCUCAACUACGAAGAAGCAGAGAGUUCCAGCAAAGCCGAGGAUGACCAGAAGCAGGAGCUGCCACGUUAGCAGAAGGUCCUCGUCCACAGCCAUGGAAAUUAAAACACGCCUGAAAAAAAAUCAUAUUGAGGGCCUUUCUUGCCCUCAACAGUUCUCCAUCUUAGCUGGCCAGGAUCUGCCUGAUUGCAGCCUACUCUUCUUGAGUGCCGUCACUGGGCUCGACUAGGUCGAAGAUACAAAAACCUGGACGAAAGAAAUUCCAGUGUAAUUUUUUUGAAGGACAAAUCUGGUUCCAAAUUUCUGCAAUUUGGAACCAGUACCAUUACGUUCAUCUUGACAAACACUUGGAAAAUCCAAGGCUGGCAAUUUGGAGGAAAAUCAUUUUGUGGAUAAAAAAAAAAGUAAAUUCACAACUGUUUCCUCUUUGAUUCGUUAUGUUAUUC